rnacentral:rRNA from 1 species
AGUGAACGCUGGCGGUAGGCCUAACACAUGCAAGUCGAACGGCAGCACAGUAAGAGCUUGCUCUUACGGGUGGCGAGUGGCGGACGGGUGAGGAAUACAUCGGAAUCUACUUUUUCGUGGGGGAUAACGUAGGGAAACUUACGCUAAUACCGCAUACGACCUACGGGUGAAAGCAGGGGAUCUUCGGACCUUGCGCGAUUGAAUGAGCCGAUGUCGGAUUAGCUAGUUGGCGGGGUAAAGGCCCACCAAGGCGACGAUCCGUAGCUGGUCUGAGAGGAUGGUCAGCCACACUGGAACUUGGACACGGUCCAGACUCCUACGGGAGGCAGCAGUGGGGAAUAUUGGGCAAUGGGCGCAAGCCUGAUCCAGCCAUACCGCGUGGGUGAAGAAGGCCUUCGGGUUGUAAAGCCCUUUUGUUGGGAAAGAAAAGCAGCAGGUUAAUACCCCGCUGUUCUGACGGUACCCAAAGAAUAAGCACCGGCUAACUUCGUG